rnacentral:rRNA from 1 species
UACGAAGGGGGCUAGCGUUGCUCGGAAUCACUGGGCGUAAAGCGCACGUAGGCGGAUUGCUAAGUCAGGGGUGAAAUCCUGGAGCUCAACUCCAGAACUGCCUUUGAUACUGGCGACCUUGAGUCCGGGAGAGGUGAGUGGAACUGCGAGUGUAGAGGUGAAAUUCGUAGAUAUCAGGAGGAACACCGAUGGCGAAGGCGGCUUUCUGGACAGUAACUGACGCUGAGACGCGAAAGCUAGGGGAGCAAACAGG